rnacentral:lncRNA from 1 species
CAGGGCAUGCUCUUCUACCACUGCCAAACGGCAUCAGCUCAAACUGCUGACCCCGAACAUCAACAUCCUUAUGGGUAGUGAGAAAUCUCUCUGGCUUGAACUCCAUCGGGUCGGCCCAAACCCGUGGAUCAGUUUGGAUCUUCCACAGGUUCACUAGCAGCCACGUACCUUUUGGAACAUGGUACCCUCCUACGGUACAGUCUUCUGUGAACUCCCUCUGGCCUGAGAGUGGUCCAGCUGGGCAUAAACGCAUUGCUUCUUUAACAGUGGCCUGCAGGUACACCAGAUUAUUUAUAUCUGACUCAUCCAGCAGUCUUCCUUUGCCAACAUACUGAUCAAGUUCUUCAUAAACUUUCUUCAAAACUUGGCGGUUGUUCAAAAGCAAAGAGAGUGUCCACGUCAGGGUCACCAUGGUUGUGUCACUCGCUCCAGCAAUCAAAAUCUGCACAAUCAAAAUUUUGGUGAUUAUUAAAACAAAUUUAGCCAAUGACCAUUUGGUUUAGCAGCAUCCAGUAUCGACUUUGUUCGACCAGGUGCUGAGUUGAAAUAUGACGGACAAAGGUCGUUGUAGAAAAAAUUAAAAUAAAUUAACAUAUAUACCAAACAUGUUGCUUUGAUGACGGUAUCAGCAUCGAAGCCAGCAACAUCCGUUCCAUCGAUGGCUGAAAGCAUGACAUCCAUGAAAUCUUGAUCUUUUCCUUUAGUUCUUUUCUGCUUGUGCUCCUCCAACCAUUCCGCAACAAUACUGUCCAAUUCUUUGGCAGUUUUCUUCAUGGCCUUCUGCUGUCCACCCAAAUCCAACCAACUAAGCCAAGGAACAGCAUCUCCCAACACAAACAAUCCCGCCAAAUGAAAGAACUCUCUCAUGGCUUUUUGCCACCGCCUUGCCUCCUUCUCCUCACUCAAAUUCCCAUUCAUAAAGCAUCUCUUUCCAGCAACCAUCCUAAAAAUCACAUUUAGAGUCAAAUCCCCAAACCACUGCUUCAUCUCCACUAAACGCUCCCCCGAGCUUUCUUUUCUUUUGAUCCAUAAAGUGUACAGCUCUUUCAAACUCAUCUCCACUUCUGAUACUCGAACUUUUUUCAGUAGCUCGAGCCUGCGGUUUGAGAGUAACUCGAGGGAUGUGAGCUUGCGCAUUUCACGCCAGUAUGAACCGUAGGGGCUAAACCCGAACAUGGCAAAGUUGUAGCCCAAGUGCUUAGCUCCUAGCGUAGCCGGACGGGAGGAAACAACUAUGUCGUUUGUGGUGAAGCAGUCCUUGGCCGCCUCCCAAGUACUUAUCACCAGAGCAGAGUGGAUACCAAUGUUGAUGGUGAAGGCUGGUCCAUACUUGUCAACCAAGGAAGCCAAAGCUAUGUGAGGAAGCUGAGAUCCUCUGAAUAGGCCAAAAUGACCUAACAGAGGCCACCCGCCUGCAACUUUUGGUAGUUUAGGACCCUUGGCUUUGGCAGCUGAGCUUGAUCUCUUUAUGAUAAAGUAGGAAAAUAAAAGUAUGGCUAGGAUUCCAGCUAUGGCAGUGUUUAGGCAUGGGAGAUACAACUCCAUUGUUGCAAAGGGAAGGUUGAGGGUAGCUGUCAUUCAUGCAGUAGUUCUUAUUUAUAGUCAAUAUCAGUGUUUUUUCUUCGUGGGACUUUCAGGUCAGCGUUCUUAAGUUUGUUUUGGAAGAGGGCCAAUGAGGAUUGUUUUCUAUAAGAUAAUUCGUAUUUUCAGAAAUACAUUUGACUCACUCAAUAUAAUAAUUGAUGCGUAGGAUAGGAAGCAAACUGUACUUUGGCAACAUUCUGAUCAGACAAGAAAAUGGGUUAUUUUAAUAGAAUUUGACGUCAUCGCUGCAACAUUGGGAAAAGGACCCCUGAGGUGAUGAAAUAACCUUCAUGAUUGAAGAUUAUCUUUUGCACGGUUUGAGACUUAAACUUAUCUCCUUUGACCAAAAAAAAAAAGUAUUUAAAUUUAUCUCCUUUGAACCAAAAAAAAAAUUAUUUAAACUUAUCCGAGACUCUGUUUUUUUAAUUUCUCUAGAAGAUAACAUCAACCUAAUAUUAAGCAGUCCUAUAUCCUGCCAAAAUUGCUUUUGCAAUAAGCAGUUUCACUUUGGCCUUUCUUCAGCUCAGCAAUUAAAUUAUCAAUCGGCUUUCCCUAGCGGUAUACCAAGUUUUGUCCUCCUGUUCUCUCUUGAUUAAUUUUCUUCUUGUUCAUCUAUUACUAUUUGGAUAAUGCUUGGGACAUCAUCUUUUUGUAUUAUAUUUGUGCACUAAUUUAUGUGACUGUUGAGUUAGCUAUGCCACAUCGUUAAGUGAGUUUUUAAUAUUUUUUUCACCUUUCACUUUACAGUCAUGUAAAUCAUAUUAAAAUUAUUUAAAAAAAAAAAAAAAAUCUUCAUUCUCUUCUCCUACCUCUUAGCCAGCUAACCCUCUCUCCCUCCUUAAUCAACCUCACCUUUCAGCCACCCCUCUCCAGUUGCCCAUCCUUCCCUCAGCCAUAAUCUUGUACAUGAACCUACCCUCAACCAUACACCAGAUUUCCCAAACAUUGAAAAGUGAAUCUCACCUACAGGUAUAGGGUCGAAAUCUUUUGAACAAUCACAAGGACACUGAGGGCAGGGACUUUUCUCCUUCAAGCUCCAGUGCAAAGAUGGACGUAUAUCCAACCAAACACACCGCCAUUAAACAAAAACUAGCCUCACAGCAAAAAAAGACAAAACUCAACUUCGGUUUGUUUGUUUCCAAAUUUGCAGAAAGUCCAAGAUCGUAUCAAAAACCCAUUUCAGGUCCGGGGUUACAUAACUCAGAAUAUCAAUUAAACUCAAAACUUGACUGCACUUGAAAAAAAAUUAAUAAUAUCCAAUCAAAAAUGCCCAUUUCAAGAUCUGGGACCUGCAAUGAGAAUCUGACAAACUCAAUGACUGGUGUAUGGCUGAGGGAAGGAUAGGCGACGGGAGAGGGGUGGCUGAAAGGUGGGGUUGAGUAGGGAGGGAGGGUUGGCUGGGUAGGAGGUAGGAGAAGAGAGCCGAGAUUUGUUUUAAAAUUUUAAUGAUUUUAAUAUGAUUUAAAUGAGUCUGUAAAGUUUAAGGUCAAAAAAUAAUAAAAUAUUAAAAAUUCAUUUAAUGAUGUGGUAUCGACAAAUGUAUGUUAACUAAAAAGUGGAACCCAUUUGUCAAAACUAGAGGAAACGCAUGAAGCUCAUUGGGCAUAAGUAGAAGAUAGAUUUAGUAAAGCCAAACUUUUUAGAUUAGGGUCAUGCUAGGGAGAUCAACUUUAGAUACCAACUUGUGUACCAACUCUCUAAUAGAGGUGGAGCCCACCAAUACAAUGGGUCCCACACUCUCUUAGAGAGUUGGUACACAAGUUGGUAUCUAAAGUUGGUCUCCCUAGCAUUUUCCUUUAGAUUAAUACAUUCAGAACAUGAACAUAAGCAUAUGUACUUUUCAUAUCGUAGCAUUUAUUUUCAUAUAUAUAUAUAUAUAUAUAUCUAAGUUCACAAUUCUGAACUUAUUCAUAAAGAUUUGGAGACAAGCGUGGUUUAACGAGGACAUCAAGAGGAGAGAGUUUCAUGUUUGUAAGUCCAGCGCUUCCGGUCAUAUCAACCGGUGCAUUUCCUCGGGUCGUGACAUCAAACCAAUGAAGAAAACUAGCCAAAGUUAAAAGCGUUGUUUGAAGGCCAAGAUUUAUCCCAGGGCAUGCUCUUCUACCACUACCAAACGGCAUCAGCUCAAAUUGCUGACCCCGAACAUCAACAUCCUUAUGGGUGGUCAGAAAUCUCUCUGGCUUGAACUCCAUCGGGUCGGCCCAAACCCUUGGGUCAGUUUGGAUCUUCCACAGGUUCACUAACAGCCACGUGCCUUUUGGAACAUGGUACCCUCCUACAGUACAGUCCUCUGUGAAUUCCCUUUGGAAUGAGAGUGGUCCAGGUGGGCAUAAACGCAUUGCUUCUUUAACAGUGGCCUGCAGGUACACCAGAUUAUUUAUAUCUGACUCAUUCAACUGUCUUCCUUUGCCAACAUGCUGGUCAAGUUCUUCAUAAACUUUCUUCAAAAUUUGGCGGUUGUUCAAAAGCAAAGAGAGUGUCCACGUCAGGGCCACCCUGGUUGUGUC